AGAUUGAACGCUGGCGGAAUGCUUUACACAUGCAAGUCGAACGGCAGCACGGGGGCAACCCUGGUGGCGAGUGGCGCACGGGUGAGUAAUACAUCGGAACGUAUCCUAGAGUGGGGGGAUAGCCCGGCGAAAGCCGGAUUAAUACCGCAUACGCUCGAAAGAGGAAAGUGGGGGAUCGUAAGACCUCACGCCCAAGGAGCGGCCGAUGCCGGAUUAGCUUGUUGGUGAGGUAAAAGCUCACCAAGGCGACGAUCCGUAGCUGGUCUGAGAGGACGACCAGCCACACUGGGACUGAGACACGGCCCAGACUCCUACGGGAGGCAGCAGUGGGAAUUUGGACAAGUGGGGAAACCCUGGAUCCAGCCAUUCCGCGUGAGUGAAGAAGGCUUCGGGUUGUAAGCUCUUUCGGCACGGAACGUAACGGUUUGGCUAAUACCCCGAGACUACGUGACCGGUACUAGAAGAAGAA
rnacentral:rRNA from 1 species